GGACGGUGACGAUUGUGAAAAGGUCUCGUUCGUCGUAAUGGGCUACCAAGCCCUUGCCGACCAUUCUGUUAUAUCACCACCCAUAUUCUGAGUCC